UACGUAGGGUGCAAGCGUUAAUCGGAAUUACUGGGCGUAAAGUGCGCGCAGGCGGCAGAGCAAGUCGAGUGUGAAAGCCCCGAGCUUAACUUGGGAAUUGCGCUCGAAACUACUUUGCUGGAGUGUGGCAGAGGAAGGUGGAAUUCCAGGUGUAGCGGUGAAAUGCGUAGAGAUCUGGAGGAACACCGAUGGCGAAGGCAGCCUUCUGGGCCAACACUGACGCUCAUGCACGAAAGCGUGGGGAGCAAACAGG
rnacentral:rRNA from 1 species